AAAUUUAAUAAAGCAAACGGUGCUUUUCUCUGAGCUAUCAGAUGAAAAGGUAAAAGGGAAACAGGUCAGAAUCCUGUGCGAUCUCGUCACUGUAAUUGCGGAGCGGUAUACGAAUAUAGUCACUGAGCAAUCGGGAAGGCUGUAUGCCGUGUUGAUGUAUAAGUCAGGAAACCUGCCGUUUGUUGGUACACGAC
rnacentral:ncRNA from 1 species